rnacentral:rRNA from 1 species
UUGCCUAGUAACGGCGAGUGAAGCGGCAACAGCUCAAAUUUGAAAUCUGGCCUUCGGGUCCGAGUUGUAAUUUGCAGAGGAUGCUUUUGGCGCGGUGCCUUCCGAGUUCCCUGGAACGGGACGCCUUAGAGGGUGAGAGCCCCGUACGGUUGGACACCAAGCCUCUGUAAAGCUCCUUCGACGAGUCGAGUAGUUUGGGAAUGCUGCUCUAAAUGGGAGGUAAAUUUCUUCUAAAGCUAAAUAUUGGCCAGAGACCGAUAGCGCACAAGUAGAGUGAUCGAAAGAUGAAAAGCACUUUGAAAAGAGGGUUAAACAGCACGUGAAAUUGUUGAAAGGGAAGCGUUUGCGACCAGACCUUCUCCUGGCGGAUCAUCCGGUGGUUUCCACCGGUGCACUUCGCCAGGUCGAGGCCAGCAUCGGUCUUUGUAGGGGGAUAAAAGCUCAGGGAACGUAGCUCCUCCGGGAGUGUUAUAGCCCUCCGCAUAAUACCUUUACGGGGACCGAGGACCGCGCCUUCGGGCAAGGAUGCUGGCGUAAUGGCUGUCAACGACCCGUCUUGAAACACGGACCAAGGAGUCGAACAUUUGUGCGAGUGUUUGGGUGUUCAACCCCUCACGCGUAAUGAAAGUGAAACGGAAGGUGAAGAGCCCCUAACGGGCUGCAUCAUACGACCGGAUCCUGAAGUCCUUCGGGAGGUAUUUUGAGUUAGAAGCCUUAACCUGUUUCGGAACCCCAAAAGAAUGGGGCAACUUAUGCCCUGGGAUAUGCCGUGAAGCCCAGGAGGAAAAUCUCUAGGCGGAAGGCCCCGCAGGCGGUUACUU